UACGGGGGGAGCAAGCGUUGUUCGGAUUUACUGGGCGUAAAGGGCGCGUAGGCGGCCACCGCAAGUCGGUUGUGAAAUCUCCCGGGCUUAACCCGGAAAGGUCAAUCGAUACUGCGGGGCUAGAGUGCAGAAGGGGCAACUGGAAUUCUCGGUGUAGCGGUGAAAUGCGUAGAUAUCGAGAGGAACACCUGCGGCGAAGGCGGGUUGCUGGGCUGACACUGACGCUGAAGCGCGAAAGCUAGGGGAGCGAACAGG
rnacentral:rRNA from 1 species